GAUUUUAUGUAAAUGGAUAUAAAUUUCAAACUCUGAAACAUGGGACACAAAAAGCAACUAUAAAUAGUGGAGUGUGCAUUAAAGGUGAAGUUUAUGGAAACAAGAAUGAGCCUGAUUAUUAUGGGCGAUUGUUGGAGGUCUGUGAAUUGGAGUAUCUUGGGGUACCUGUCAAAACCAUAACAAUGUUCAAGUGUGAGUGGUUUGACACAUCAAAAAAGGGGACAUCGGUGCAUCCUGAUUUCAAAUUGGUAUCAGUAAACCAUACCCGCAGGUAUAAAGAGUAUGAACCUUUUGUCCUAGCAAGCCAAGCAACUCAGGUGCAUUAUUGCCCCUAUCCGAGUUUAAAUGAGUCGAUGAAGGACUGGUGGGCAGUUUGCGAAAUGAAAGCUAGAGCUGAUGUAGAAGUCUUGGAUAAAGCAUCUAGUGCAAUACCGCCACCCUUUCAAGAGGAUAAAUCGGUUCAUAUAGCCACUCCAACCAUAGAUGAUGACACAGUACCAGUUCAUCCAGAUGGUACUUUGAUAGAUAUCGAAGAAGCUGGUGAUGAGUCAGAUGAAGAUAUUCAAUUGCCGGAGACGGAUGAUGACGAUGAUGACGAUGACGAUGACAGCGA
rnacentral:lncRNA from 1 species